rfam:Xenopus laevis strain J chromosome 2L, whole genome shotgun sequence.
AUGACCGAUCUCUCUUGGUGUUUAGAGGCUUGGGUCUUCAUCUAGCACCAUUUGAAAUCGGUUAU